rnacentral:rRNA from 1 species
UACGUAGGGGCGUAGCGUUAUCCGGAUUUACUGGGCGUAAAGGGUGCGUAGGCGGUCUUACAAGUCAGGAGUGAAAGGCUACGGCUCAACCGUAGUAAGCUCUUGAAACUGUGAGACUUGAGUGCAGGAGAGGAGAGUGGAAUUCCUAGUGUAGCGGUGAAAUGCGUAGAUAUUAGGAGGAACACCAGUUGCGAAGGCGGCUCUCUGGACUGUAACUGACGCUGAGGCACGAAAGCGUGGGAGCAAACAGGAUUAGAUACCCUGGUAGU